UUGGAUUUAAAUCCCAAAUAUAAAGUUUAAACUUUUUUUAGAA
rnacentral:tRNA from 1 species